CUACGGGAGGCAGCAGUGGGGAAUUUUCCGCAAUGGGCGAAAGCCUGACGGAGCAAUACCGCGUGAGGGAAGACGGCCUAUGGGUUGUAAACCUCUUUUUUCAGGGAGGAAUUUUGACGUGUACCUGAAGAAUAAGCAUCGGCUAACUCCGUGCCAGCAGCCGCGGUAAGACGGAGGAUGCAAGUGUUAUCCGGAAUCACUGGGCGUAAAGCGUCUGUAGGUGGUUGAACAAGUCAACUGUUAAAUCUUGAGGCUCAACUUCAAAAUCGCAGUCGAAACUGUUUGACUAGAGUAUAGUAGGGGUAAAGGGAAUUUCCAGUGGAGCGGUGAAAUGCGUAGAUAUUGGAAAGAACACCGAUGGCGAAGGCACUUUACUGGGCUAUUACUGACACUCAGAGACGAAAGCUAGGGUAGCAAAUGGGAUUAGAUACCCCAGUAGUCCUAGCCGUAAACAAUGGAUACUAGAUGUUGAACAGAUCGACCUGUGCAGUAUCAAAGCUAACGCGUUAAGUAUCCCGCCUGGGAAGUAUGCUCGCAAGAGUGAAACUCAAAU
rnacentral:rRNA from 1 species